rnacentral:rRNA from 1 species
UCGGGAAUUUUGGGCAAUGGGCGAAAGCCUGACCCAGCAACGCCGCGUGAAGGAUGAAGUAUUUCGGUAUGUAAACUUCGAAAGAAUAGGAAGAAUAAAUGACGGUACUAUUUAUAAGGUCCGGCUAACUACGUGCCAGCAGCCGCGGUAAUACGUAGGGACCAAGCGUUGUUCGGAUUUACUGGGCGUAAAGGGCGCGUAGGCGGCAAUUCAAGUCAUCUGUGAAAUCUCCGGGCUUAACUCGGAACGGUCAGAUGAUACUGCUUUGCUAGAGUGCAGAAGGGGCAAUCGGAAUUCUUGGUGUAGCGGUGAAAUGCGUAGAUAUCAAGAGGAACACCUGAGGUGAAGACGGGUUGCUGGGCUGACACUGACGCUGAGGCGCGAAAGCCAGGGGAGCAAACGGGAUUAGAUACCCCAGUAGUCCCUGAGCGGGCUGGCAAGGCGCAU